rnacentral:misc_RNA from 1 species
AGAAGAAGAAGAAGAAAAGGAGGAAGAAAGAGGGGGCUGUUUGAAGCCGUAUGCGGAGGAGAGAGAAGAAUCCCGAUGGGCGGCGGAAGAUGCUCUUAUGGCUUUAGCGGCAAGUGAAGUUGAAGAAUAAGAAGAGUUGGUGGUGUCAUCGUCUUCCACUUCCUCGUCAUAGGAAGUGGAGAUUGAAGGCUUUGUAGUAGCAGUAUGUUGCUUCCUUCUAUAAGCCAUUUGUAAGAAAUAGGGAGAGAUAAAAAUCAGAAGGAAUUAGCAGAAGAAGAAGAAGAAGAAG